AAAUAAUUCUGCUUCAGACCUUAUUGCACGGGCCGUGCCAACCUGCACGGCCGGCCGUGCAAACUCCCUGUUUUUUGUAUGGGAGGGGAGCAUCCAUCCUGCACGGGCCGUGUGCUGCUGCACAGGCCGUGCGGGUCUUCAUGCUUUUGUAUUUUCCAGUCCUUUUUUAUGUCUUCUCUCCUUUGGCACGUCCGUUGCCUCUUUGCUCAAGCUGCACAUACACAAGACUACCGAAAACAAGCAUCACGCAUAGAGAACUCAAAUUAAAAAGAUAAUAACA
rnacentral:lncRNA from 1 species